rnacentral:rRNA from 1 species
GACGAACGCUGGCGGCGUGCUUAACACAUGCGAGUCGAACGGAAAGGCUCCAGCUUGCUGGAGUCCUCGAGUGGCGAACGGGUGAGUAACACGUGGGUAAUCUGCCCUGCACUCUGGGAUAAGCCUGGGAAACUGGGUCUAAUACUGGAUAUGACCUUUCUCCUUAUGGGGUUUGGUGGAAAGUUUUUCGGUGUAGGAUGAGCCCGCGGCCUAUCAGCUUGUUGGUGGGGUGAUGGCCUACCAAGGCGACGACGGGUAGCCGGCCUGAGAGGGUGAUCGGCCACAUUGGGACUGAGAUACGGCCCAGACUCCUACGGGAGGCAGCAGUGGGGAAUAUUGCACAAUGGGCGGAAGCCUGAUGCAGCGACGCCGCGUGAGGGAUGACGGCCUUCGGGUUGUAAACCUCUUUCAGCAGGGACGAAGCGUAAGUGACGGUACCUGCAGAAGAAGCACCGGCUAACUAUGUG